CUGCUCAAUUUGGCAGCACAUGUACUAAAAUGGAAACAAUACAGAGAAGGUUAGCAUGCCCCUGUGCAAGGAUGCCAAGCAAAUUCACGAAACAUUCCAUAUUUUU